CCCUGCUAUCAUCCUAUUAGCUAUUCCACUAAAACAUCAACGCAACAGCGGUUGACAUCCCGUAUACAGCACAAGUCCAGUAUAACGUGCAUGCACGAUAACAUCCCCAAAGACGGGAAAUUAAAUUAGAACUCAAAAAUAAAAAAGAAAGAGAAAACCAUGGCACAGGAGCUGGGGGUUCCGUUGGAUCAACCAAGGAAACAGAAAAGUCAAAAACGGAGCAAAAAAAAGAAAAAGGAUGCGGCUUGCACAUCGAGAGUUGGGAUAACGAUCCAGCAUGCAAGCAUGCAAGCCCGAUCAGAUACAACUGGCGGGUGGAAAGUGCCAGAACAGCUUGACAGCUGUUCGAGCAGGUUGGCGACGUUGGGAAGACGAUGUGAUG
rnacentral:sRNA from 1 species